UCCUUUUUAAAUGGUUACGUGAUAUGCAGGAGGUUAUUUUAUAAUUCUCCUACAUUCUCAAACCCUAACCUACGACUACUUUUCUUGCUCUCCCUCUCUCGCUAUUGUUGACAAGAAUAAGGAGCACCAAAGACUUCAAUUUUUCGGUUCUAGGCUAUAUCGGACUCUCGUCAUCGCUAGGACGUGAUUGACCAACCCCGGCCAUUAGCUACUUUUAAGAGUCCAACCGAGCAACCAAAGGUCGUUAGAGGUUUAGCUGGAGCUUGCAGGGGAGCAGGAGUCGUUGUGGGACAUGAACCACUGCGUGUUCAUGAAAAACUUUAGUAAAUUAAAAACUUAAAUUUUGGUUUUGAACUUAAAUGCUUCCGCUGACUAUUCAACUUGGUUUUGGACUUUGGUUUUGAGAA